GAUGAACGCUGGCGGCGUGCUUAACACAUGCAAGUCGAACGAAGAAGAGUUGAAUGAGAGCUUCGGCAGGAUUUCUUCUCAUCUUAGUGGCGGACGGGUGAGUAACGUGUGGGCAACCUGCCCUAUACUGGGGAAUAAUCACUGGAAACGGUGACUAAUACCGCAUGUCAUCACCGAGGGGCAUCCCUUGGUGAAAAAAGGAGCAAUUCGGUAUAGGAUGGGCCCGCAUCUGAUUAGCUAGUUGGUGGGGUAACAGCCUACCAAGGCAACGAUCAGUAGCCGGCUUGAGAGAGUGUACGGCCACAUUGGGACUGAGACACGGCCCAG
rnacentral:rRNA from 1 species